UCCCUGCUGUCGUCCCGCUGCAUGCUAGCUGCUCCCUCCGUCUCCACUGCAUACUAGCAGCUCCCUCCGUCUCCACUGCAUGCUAGCAGUUCCGUCCGUCUCCACUGCAUACUAGCAGCUCCGUCUCCACUGCAUGCUAGCUGCUCUGUCUCCACUGCAUGCUAGCUGCUCCGUCUGUCUCCACUGCUUGCUAGCAGGUCCGUCCGUCUCCACUGCAUGCUAGCAGCUCCGUCUCCACUGCAUGCUAGCAGUUCCGUCCGUCUCCACUGCAUACUAGCUGCUCUGUCUCCGCUGCAUGCUAGCAGCUCCGUCCGUCUCCACUGCAUGCUAGCAGCUCCGUCCGUCUCCACUGCAUGCUAGCUGUUCCGUCCGUCUCCACUGCAUGCUAGCAGCUCCGUCCGUCUCCACUGCAUGCUAGCAGCUCCGUCCGUCUCCACUGCAUGCUAGCAGCUCCGUCCGUCUCCACUGCAUGCUAGCAGCUCCGUCCGUCUCCACUGCAUGCUAGCAGCUCCGUC
ensembl:lncRNA